rnacentral:rRNA from 1 species
UACGUAGGGUGCAAGCGUUAAUCGGAAUUACUGGGCGUAAAGCGUGCGCAGGCGGUGAUGUAAGACAGAUGUGAAAUCCCCGGGCUCAACCUGGGAACUGCAUUUGUGACUGCAUCGCUAGAGUACGGCAGAGGGGGAUGGAAUUCCGCGUGUAGCAGUGAAAUGCGUAGAUAUGCGGAGGAACACCGAUGGCGAAGGCAAUCCCCUGGGCCUGUACUGACGCUCAUGCGCGAAAGCGCGGGGAGCAAACAGG